GCAAACUUGGUCAUUUAGAGGAAGUAAAAGUCGUAACAAGGUUUCCGUAGGUGAACCUGCGGAAGGAUCAUUAAAGAAAUUGAUUUGGGAUUUAAAUUGAUCUCCAAAUUUAUCUGAACUUGUGGUAAUAAUGAAAAUAUGAUAUUGGGAUUAAACAUGGUGCUCUAUCAGUAGAGUACCGGCCCAAAAAAUAUUGAUAAACUCUUUUUAUAAUUGACUGAAAUCAAGUUAAAAAUAAUCCAAUUUUUUGGAUUAAAAAAAGUUUUAAACAACUUUCAACAACGGAUCUCUUGGUUCUCGCAUCGAUGAAGAACGCAGC
rnacentral:misc_RNA from 1 species